rnacentral:rRNA from 1 species
AGGACGAACGCUGGCGGCGUGCUUAACACAUGCAGGUGGAGCGACGAACCAGGGCUUGCCCUGGGGCAGAGCCGCGAACGGGUGAGUAACACGUGGGUUACCUGCCUCGAUGACCGGGACAACCCGAGGAAACUCGGGCUAAUACCGGAUGUGCCCGCAAGGGGAAAGGAAGCUUCGGCCUCCGCAUCGAGAUGGGCCCGCGGCCCAUUAGCUUGUUGGUGAGGUAACGGCUCACCAAGGCUUCGAUGGGUAGCUGGUCUGAGAGGACGAUCAGCCACACUGGGACUGAGACACGGCCCAGACUCCUACGGGAGGCAGCAGUGGGGAAUCUUGCGCAAUGCGCGAAAGCGUGACGCAGCAACGCCGCGUGGGGGAAGAAGGCUUUCGGGUUGUAAACCCCUUUCAGUUGGGACGAAGCUUCGUCCGGUGAAUAGCCGGACGGAGUGACGGUACCUUCACAAGAAGCACCGGCUAACUACGUGCCAGCAGCCGCGGU